rnacentral:misc_RNA from 1 species
UGAAAGCUGUUUGAGAAGGAGGUGUGCGUGAGGUUGGAGUUUUACACUUAGUUUAUGCGCAGCUAGUUUGAUACCUUCGCAUAAAUUUUAAACCAAGUUCUCUAAAGUUUUGUAUUUUGUAUGUUCUUAUUUCGACAGUGUUUUGCUAUGUGCGAGUAACAGUGCUGUUUUUGGUAUCGGUAGGACUUGUACUUGGUUUCGAAAGGUGUUCUUUUCUUAGUAUUUUUCAAGAUUUACGUAGAUCGAUCGUUUUGCUGGACAGUUCGUCGAUUAAGUGGAUUAUACUUGGAAAGGAGAUGUCAUGUCAUAGAAGCAAAUCGAUCGGCAAACGUAACCAGAAAGAAGAUGAAAGAAUGCUGAAAGAGCAUGUCCAGUUUCCAAAUGGGUCAAAUCUAAACUAG